rnacentral:lncRNA from 1 species
AGGAUGCUGAAGAGGUGGAAAGAAUAAUUUCCAGAAUGAAAUAAUUCCUCAAACAUGUUAGACAUUAUAUCAACUCUAGCACAAUGCUAUGUAUGCAGCAAGAGGGUGAUAGUAUCUGUGAUUGGCUGAAUUAAUUAAUCAAUCUUAGGCAUUCAACAAAUAUUUAUUAAACAGUUAAAUGAAUGGAGGCAAGGGAUAGGAUUGGUGCAUUUAAGUUCACAUGUUAACAAACCCCCAUAAUAAGCUUCAGCAGUUGUACAAUUUGUUGUUGGCAUCCUAAGUUCUGAAAUGCAAUAUAUUCUACAUUUUCUCCCCCUUAUUUCCUCUCCCAAAGUUUCUAAAAAAUGAAACAAAACAUCCGUGUGCAUGAGUGAUCCCUGGCAACCUGCCAUAGUCCACAUUCCUUCUCUCUGAGACUCUCUCUGAUAUUCAGUUCUUGGCCUCCACUUGUCCCCAGAUCAUGUCCAGACGGCUGCAGGCUCCAAAUGCCCAGAAGUCAGCUAAUCCCAGGAUCGGCAACAAACCUUGGCUCUGGGCAGACCUCUUACCUUUUCAAGAGCUUUUUCAUUGGGUCUUUGAUUUUAUUUCACCAACUCUGUGAGUCAGGACAGGCAUGUUCUCGUAUUCUCACUCUCUUUCAUACAGACACAUACAUGCACAAACAUGAACACUUACCCCACAUGCUCAUGCUCACCUCAUCCAAGGAACCCAAGGCCCUGGCGUCCAGAGAAUGAGAGCUCCCGGGGAUAUGGAUUAGUGGAUGGGAUGGGGG